UUCUCCAAUUAAAAUGCUAUGCAUUUCGAGGCUCAGAAUGGGAAAUAAAACAUGGGAGUUUUUUGUAACUUAUUAAACUUGAAAUUGAGGACACCGAUUUGAUGCAAUGGAGGCCUCAACAUGGAAGCCUCCCGAGGCUUCGUAUACUUAUCAUGAAGCACUGCUACAAAUUGCAACAACUCAAUUUGUCAGAUGAUCUGUCUUGGAUCAAGACCAUUGAAUUAGUCGACUGCAAUCCUUUAGCUGACGUUUGUACCAAUCAAUUAAAAGGCUAGUUUUCCUUUGAACUCAUCGUCGAUUCUUCUUUUUGAGCUCAAGUGGCUGUGCAACUUCCCUAAGGCAAAUGACAGAGCUUAAGGAUUGUAACUUGCUUUGGAUUUUGUUGAGGAUUAUGAAAAUUGAGUGCUGAAUUGUGUAUGUAGUUUGUAACCAAAAUUCUUGUAAGUUGGAUUUGUGUGAUACAUGAUUUCACUUUGUUUU